rnacentral:rRNA from 1 species
GGUAGGGUAACGGCCUACCAAGGCUGCGAUGGUUAGCUGGUCUGAGAGGAUGAUCAGCCACACUGGAACUGACACACGGUCCAGACUCCUACGGGAGGCAGCAGUGAGGAAUUUUGCGCAAUGGGGGAAACCCUGACGCAGCAACGCCGCGUGAGUGAUGAAGGCUUUCGGGUCGUAAAGCUCUGUCAAGUGGGAAGAAACUGUUAGACAUUAAUACUGUCUUUCAUUGACGGUACCGCUGAAGGAAGCACCGGCUAACUCCGUGCCAGCAGCCGCGGUAAUACGGGGGGUGCAAGCGUUAUUCGGAAUUAUUGGGCGUAAAGGGCGCGUAGGCGGCUUCUUAAGUCAGAUGUGAAAGCCCGGGGCUUAACCCCGGAAGUGCAUUUGAAACUAAGGGGCUUGAGUAUGGGAGAGGGAAGUGGAAUUCCUGGUGUAGAGGUGAAAUUCGUAGAUAUCAGGAGGAACACCGGUGGCGAAGGCGGCUUCCUGGACCAAUACUGACGCUGAGGCGCGAAGGCGUGGGGAGCAAACAGGAUUAGAUACCCUGGUAGUCCACGCAGUAAACGGUGAACACUAGGUGUAGCGGGUAUUGACCCCUGCUGUGCCGCAGUUAACGCAUUAAGUGUUCCGCCUGGGAAGUACGACCGCAGGGUUAAAACUCAAAGGAAUUGACGGGUGCCCGCACAAGCGGUGGAGCAUGUGGUUUAAUUCGACGCAACGCGAAGAACCUUACCUGGCUUGACAUCCCGAGAAGUCUUUUGAAAAAAAGACGUGCUCUUCGGAGAACUCGGUGACAGGUGCUGCAUGGCUGUCGUCAGCUCGUGUCGUGAGAUGUUGGGUUAAGUCCCGCAACGAGCGCAACCCCUAUCUUUAGUUACCAUCAUUUAGUUGGGGACUCUAAAGAUACUGCCCCGGUUAACGGGGAGGAAGGUGGGGAUGACGUCAAGUCCUCAUGGCCUUUAUGUCCAGGGCUACACACGUGCUACAAUGGGCUGUACAAUGGGUCGCAAACUCGCGAGGGUGAGCUAAUCCCAAAAAGCAGUUCGUAGUUCGGAUUGGAGUCUGCAACUCGACUCCAUGAGGCCGGAAUCGCUAGUAAUCGCUGAUCAGCAUGCUGCGGUGAAUACGUUCCCGGGCCUUUACACACCGCCCGUCACACCAUGAGAGUUGAUUGUACCGGAAGUUGUUGGGCCAACCUUUCGAGGGGGCAGGCACCUAUGGUAUGAUUGAUGAUUGGGGUGAAGUCGGAACAAGGUA